GGGCGUAAAGCGUACGCAGGCGGUUUGUUUAAGCGAGAUGUGAAAGCCCCGGGCUCAACCUGGGAACUGCAUUUCGAACUGGCAGACUAGAGUCUUGUAGAGGGGGGUAGAAUUUCAGGUGUAGCGGUGAAAUGCGUAGAGAUCUGAAGGAAUACCGGUGGCGAAGGCGGCCCCCUGGACAAAGACUGACGCUCAUGUACGAAAGCGUGGGGAGCAAACAGGAUUAGAAC
rnacentral:rRNA from 1 species